CGCGUCUUAAACAUGCAAGUCGAACGGUAAGGUCCCUUCGGGGAUACACGAGUGGCAAACGGGUGAGUAACACGUAGGUAAUCUACCCUCAGUCGGGGGACAACUCUGGGAAACUGGAGCUAAUACCGCAUAUCUUCAUUUUCUCCACGGAGUUUUUGAAGAAAGCAGCAAUGCACCUGAGGAUGAGCCUGCGGCUAAUUAGCUUGUUGGUGGGGUAAUGGCCUACCAAGGCGACGAUUAGUAGCCGGCCUGAGAGGGUGAACGGCCACACUGGAACUGAGACACGGUCCAGACUCCUACGGGAGGCAGCAGUUAAGAAUCUUGCGCAAUGGGGGCAACCCUGACGCAGCGACGCCGCGUGCGUGAUGAAGGCUUUCGAGUUGUAAAGCGCAAUAGACGGGGACGAAAAAAAUGACGGUACCCGUUCAAAGCACCGGCUAACUACGUGCCAGCAGCCGCGGUAAUACGUAUGGUGCAAGCGUUGUUCGGAAUCACUGGGCGUAAAGAGCACGUAGGCGGAAUAUUAAGUCGGAAGUGAAAACUAUGGGCUCAACCCAUUAGACUGCUUUCGAAACUGAUAUUCUCGAGUCUCGGAGAGGUAAGCGGAAUUCCUGGUGUAGCGGUGAAAUGCGUAGAUAUCAGGAGGAACACCAAUGGCGAAGGCAGCUUACUGGACGGUGACUGACGCUGAGGAGCGAAAGCGUGGGGAGCAAACAGGAUUAGAGACCCUGGUAGUCCACGCCGUAAACGAUGAGUACUUGGUGGUGGGGGAUUCGACCCCUUCGCUGCCGGAGCUAACGCGUUAAGUACUCCGCCU
rnacentral:rRNA from 1 species